rnacentral:snoRNA from 1 species
ACGACAUGAUGGGGGUAUUUUCUGAUGAGGUCCUUUAAUCUUUCUCAUGCCUCAUGGAACUGCUCAUCAUCUUGUUGAGAGAAGCUAGUGAGAGAUCGCCUUAUUUG